rnacentral:lncRNA from 1 species
GUUGAAAAGGUUGUUUCGCAUAUUACAUUUCAUAUUUGGUCAUAAGAGGCUGGUUAUGAGAUUUAGUGGGUCAAAACAGCAUGAAAAAUUAGUAAAUUCUUACUUUUGACAGCCUUAGAUAGUCAUCUUGUAAAGGCCGUAUCUCAUUCGUUAUUAGGAGUUAGACAACGAGCCUUAUAUCGUUGAAAAGGUUGUUUCGCAUAUUACAUUUCAUAUUUGGUCAUAAGAGGCUGGUUAUGAGAUUUAGUGGGUCAAAACAGCAUGAAAAGUUAGUAAAUUCGUUUUGACAGCAAGCUGUUUGGAAGCAUUUCAGCUUCUGUGCUGAUUUUGUAAAAAUCAUAUAAAAUCAUAGGAAUGUCCGAUUGUUACGAUCUUUAUAUGCUUAGAAAGAUCUCUGAAUGUAGAUCAUUUCAUAUUUGAACAUGAAGAACUGAAUCAGAAGAUAAAUGGGUUAAAAUGUGUCGUGAACAGCUGCUGCGCAGAAAGUUGUUGCACAUUUUUAGUAUAAAUAUUAAGUAAAAAUAGUUGUAUUGUUAUGCACACUUGUAUGAAUCAUGAACUACUGAUUUUAAUAAAUUAUUAGUAAGUUAUUUGAUUGUUUUAAGUGUCUAAAACACUUACCAACUAGUCUAUGCAUAUGAUUGCACCAACGGGUCGAAACGGGUUGUUGAUAGAAAAUAGUAGAAUGGAUGUGUAAAAACCAAGGUGUUAAGAAAUGGUAUGAAAUGUUUAAUGUAUGAAACAAGUUGCCUAACUUAGAAAAUGUUAUCAUUCUAAGUAUGGAAUUUUGAAAGAAUAAUGAACAUGAUGUAAAUACAUAAUUAUGCAUGCUAGAAGCUCAUGUAUGACUUUUGUGAUGAUGGAAUGAUAAAUUGUUAGAUUGAUUAGCAUUGUAGUAUUGUGAUACAUGUUGAACUCGUUAAGCGAUUGACACGUGAAUAGAAGUGUGGUUAGUGAUGCGUAUGAUUACGUAUACUAACUAUUGAAUGGAUGUAAUGGAAUGAGAUAAUAGGAACGUGUCAAGGAGAGCUCAAGCAUAGGAGGAUAACGGGUCAAGAUAAGGCAAGGUGACAAAUACACUUAUUGGAGUACUCAAGGUUAUGAAUGUCGGACUUUCGAAGUGUUGAUAUAAUAAUGAAAUGGUUGAAUGUUGAAAGGAUAAUCGGAUUGAAGUAACUUAUGCGGUUAG